rnacentral:rRNA from 2 species
UUAUUGGAGAGUUUGAUCCUGGCUCAGGAUGAACGCUGGCGGCGUGCCUAAUACAUGCAAGUCGAGCGAAUGGAUUAAGAGCUUGCUCUUAU